AGUGAACGCUGGCGGCAGGCCUAACACAUGCAAGUCGAACGGCAGCACAGGGGAGCUUGCUCCCUGGGUGGCGAGUGGCGGACGGGUGAGGAAUACAUCGGAAUCUACCCUUUCGUGGGGGAUAACGUAGGGAAACUUACGCUAAUACCGCAUACGAUCUGAGGAUGAAAGCAGGGGACCGCAAGGCCUUGCGCGAUUGGAUGAGCCGAUGUCCGAUUAGCUAGUUGGCGGGGUAAAGGCCCACCAAGGCGACGAUCGGUAGCUGGUCUGAGAGGAUGAGCAGGCACACUGGAACGGAGACACGGUCCAGACUCCUACGGGAGGCAGCAGUGGGGAAUAUUGGACAAUGGGCGCAAGCCUGAUCCAGCCAUGCCGCGUGUGUGAAGAAGGCCUUCGGGUUGUAAAGCACUUUUGUUGGGAAAGAAAUCCUGUCGGCUAAUACCCGGCGGGGAUGACGGUACCCAAAGAAUAAGCACCGGCUAACUUCGUGCCAGCCGCCGCAGUAAGAC
rnacentral:rRNA from 1 species